CGUGGGGGACAACCAGCCGAAAGGUUGGCUAAUACCGCAUGAGUUCUACGGAAGAAAGAGGGGGACCCGCAAGGGCCUCUCGCGAGCGGAGCGGCCGAUGACUGAUUAGCCGGUUGGUGAGGUAACGGCUCACCAAAGCAACGAUCAGUAGCUGGUCUGAGAGGACGACCAGCCACACUGGGACUGAGACACGGCCCAGACUCCUACGGGAGGCAGCAGUGGGGAAUUUUGGACAAUGGGCGCAAGCCUGAUCCAGCUAUUCCGCGUGUGGGAUGAAGGCCCUCGGGUUGUAAACCACUUUUGUAGAGAACGAAAAGACACCUUCGAAUAAAGGGUGUUGCUGACGGUACUCUAAGAAUAAGCACCGGCUAACUACGUGCCAGCAGCCGCGGUAAUACGUAGGGUGCGAGCGUUAAUCGGAAUUACUGGGCGUAAAGGGUGCGCAGGCGGUUGAGUAAGACAGAUGUGAAAUCCCCGAGCUUAACUCGGGAAUGGCAUAUGUGACUGCUCGACUAGAGUGAGUCAGAGGGAGGUGGAAUUCCACGUGUAGCAGUGAAAUGCGUAGAUAUGUGGAAGAACACCGAUGGCGAAGGCAGCCUCCUGGGACAUAACUGACGCUCAGGCACGAAAGCGUGGGGAGCAAACAGGAUUAGAUACCCUGGUAGUCCACGCCCUAAACGAUGUUAACUAGUUGUUGGGAAGUAAAAUUCUCAGUAACGCAGCCA
rnacentral:rRNA from 1 species